UCGAUUUGGAGUUUGUUGCCUAGAGUGAUGGGCUCCGAAGCUAACGCGAUAAAUCGACCGCCUGGGGAGUACGGCCGCAAGGUUAAAACUCAAAUGAAUUGACGGGGGCCCGCACAAGCGGUGGAGCAUGUGGUUUAAUUCGAUGCAACGCGAAGAACCUUACCUGGUCUUGACAUCCACAGAAUCUUGCAGAGAUGCGAGAGUGCCUUCGGGAACUGUGAGACAGGUGCUGCAUGGCUGUCGUCAGCUCGUGUUGUGAAAUGUUGGGUUAAGUCCCGCAACGAGCGCAACCCUUAUCCUUUGUUGCCAUUGGUUCGGCCGGGAACUCAAAGGAGACUGCCGUUGAUAAAGCGGAGGAAGGUGGGGACGACGUCAAGUCAUCAUGGCCCUUACGACCAGGGCUACACACGUGCUACAAUGGCGUAUACAAAGGGAGGCGACCUCGCGAGAGCAAGCGGACCUCAUAAAGUACGUCUAAGUCCGGAUUGGAGUCUGCAACUCGACUCCAUGAAGUCGGAAUCGCUAGUAAUCGUGAAUCA
rnacentral:rRNA from 1 species